UUUUCCCCAUCGAAGCGACAUUCCUUUCUGAUUGACCUCACUGGGGGUUGUCAUGGAGCAUUACUAAGUCACAGAGCAGCUGCUGACACCCAGCAGGGGGCCAGGGACCCCUUCCAACACCCUCAGACAGCCCCAAGCAGCAAUCAGGACUCCAGCCCAUCAUGUACAGGCUGGCAUAGCUGAAUGCAAUACCUUCAGUGCUGAAAGCACAAACCAAACCAAUGCCCCGGCAAGGAGCUGUACGGAGUGAAAACAAAAUCCUGCAGCAGAAGCACUCUGGGCAAGCAGAUAAAGGCAGGCGGAAUGAAGAGAAUGAAGGACACCAUUUCAGAGACAGAAGGACUGAAGUAACCUUUGAAAUCAAAGCCUUCAAAGUGACAGCAGCCUGUGCCUCUGGCUAUACUGAAGGUUCACACCUGGAAAUGCCUCAAUAUAGUGUAAAGCUUCUGUUGCCUGAUGCAGAUCACAGCCUUGCUGAGAUAAAAGUAGAACUACUAUUGCUGGAGGAUGAAUUGCCGAAAGACCAGAUGCAGGCGCAGGAGAGAUCAGCUGGAAGCGGUCCCUGUGUCGGUCUCAAGUCUGUUUGCUGGAAAAGGGUAUUAUGGCAAUGCUAAUCUACAGUAGUCAUCACUUCUCUGCACUUUCUCUGGGCACAGAACACUUCUAAGAUGAGUGGAACAUCUAGUGAUGGAACUGAUGAUGAUGACCAAGGCAAACCACACUUUUCUGAUUCUUUGCCUCCUGGAGGAAUCGGAUCCAGCAGGAAAAAACCAAAGAAAGAGAGGCAGCAGUUAGCAGCUCAGAAGAAUACGGAGACAACUGAAGUGGAAAAAGAGGUGCUGAUACUGAAAGUCAGCUGCUGGAACCAAGCAGAACUGGCAGAGGAAGGGACCACUCCAAGUCUGAUGCCCACGCUUCUGGAGAUCAUGACAUUUACCAUCUUUGUGUUUGUGAUCUUCAUGUGUGUAACUAAUGGAGGCGAAUAGAAAUGGUCUGCUCAUAAACCUUAUCCUGGGGAGACAAUAAAAGCCCAGUCCUGAUGACAUAAGCAGUGUUUAGUGGUGACUACAAAACUGAAGAAUGCAAUUUUUUUUCCUCUCUGCUACUUGUGAACAAGCUCUUCAGGCAGUGAAUUAACAGGCUAGGAGGAGGGUGAAACAGCCUGUGACUUGUCUUUGCCUGGUGUUCACCGCAUUCAGAAGUUCCUAAUUCUUGAAAGCGUGCCUUGCUAUACUGUUUCGCCUUUGCUGCAUCCAUGUUUGCACAUUUUGUGCCCCAGCUGGAGGGUUUAUUUGCUCAGAGGUGUUUGGAGUUCUGCAUGGCUUGGUUUUUCCUAAGCUGCCCAUGGCUGGGAUUACCGCAUCGUUGAGGAUUUGUGGCUUCUCUAAGCUCUGGUUAUCUUAUAUGUGAGAACCACCAGAUAUAAACGGAGGGAAUAAAUUGUUUGCCAAUCUGGCAAGACAGGGAAUGAUGGCUCUAGCUUAAUACAAGCCAUGAGAGAUCAAGGGAGGAGAUACUAUCUUAACCACUUCUGAAAAAAUGUUCUUGCCCCUUCAAGUCUGUAACUUACGGAAAAAGGGGAAUACUGGAAGUGAGGAUCUCCCAUUGUUGGCCUGCUACUCCUCGUCAGAAAAGAACCUAAUUUUAUGUGCAAUGUUCUCCUAAAUCAUAAUACUUAAAUGACUUAAGGGUUAAGCUUAAGCUGAGGCCUUUUGGUAUCUUUUCACAGCAGAAACGCAGAACUUGGAGCCUGGCACGUAAUCGGAAAGAUCAUUUGGAUUGCUGAAUGUAUUUGAUUUUAAAACCGCUGGGUUUCUCCUGUUGUCCGUAUCCACUUUGCCAAGAAAAAAAAUUUUGUAUCCUUAGGUUUGACACUGGUUUAGCAGGAAAAUCUUCCCUGCUUAAGUCAUAACACAGUAAGCUAGAGGGGUGAGAUACUGCAUGGUUUCCUUAAAACUUCUAAGACAUUUUGCUUUAUCUUAAAGGUGUGUGCACUUUGUAAUUGCUGCCUCAGGUCUGGGUGAUGGCUUUAACGUGAGGUAAGAGGUUACCUCUUCUUCUAAGGUUAAAUGGUAAUAAAUGAGAAAGGGGCGUUUGACUCCUCUAACAGUCAGUGAGAUGAAGGUGGCUGCCUUUCCACCAAG